GUAAUUUUGAUCCUGCAUUAGUUUUUUUUACUAGCUGUUCACUGAAAUGAAGCCAAAAAUUGAGAAUUUCCUAAUCUCUGUCCAAGCAUUGAGUGUCCUCCAAUGUGUCCAAUUGUACUUGUUGUUCUGUAAGCAGAGUGUUAGUCUCAAACUACAGCUGUUGUUAAACAUGCAACUUUGUCCCAAGAAGGGGGAAGAUCACCUGCUACAGCAUGUUACAUAGAAACAUAGAAACAUAGAAUGUGACGGCAGAUAAGAACCAUUCGGCCCAUCUAGUCUGCCCAAUUUUCUAAAUACUUUCAUUAGUCCCUAG